UGUGUGUGUGUUUCUUUUUUUUAUUCUUCUUGUUCACCGCAGCCUUAUCUGGGCUCAUGUUCUGCAAGGGAGGGGGGGGGGGGGGGGGGACAUGAACGCAUACAAACCGAAGAUGGAGAGCGGAGACCAGGCUAUAAAUAGGGCCUCGAUUAUAUUAGCACGCGUCACCCCGGCUUACGGCAGCGACUGUUUCUGACGAUAACCUCUGGUUGACUCGCAUGUACGGAUGACAGAUGGUUGAGUCUGAGUCUAACCGAUGCCCUGCUCUCCACUCCGAAGACCGAGACCCCAUAUGUCAAAAAACAACAACGCACAAUGGGGCGCCUUAGAACUCACUGCAUCAUCAUCCCCUCCCCUUGGAGCCUAUCAGAUCAUCCGUCACCCUCAACACCCCCUUCUCAUCCCCAUCUCAACCCCUCAACAUCUCUGUUCUCCCCUCCACAGCCAAGGUGCGGUCAAAGUGCGCCCCCACCUUCUUCGCCUGCGCCAACGGCAUCUUCUGCAUCAUCGGACGCUUCCGCUGCAACGGGUUCGCCGACUGUCCGGACCGGAGCGACGAGGACAACUGCACAGCCAACCCCCUGGUGUGCUCGGAGUCUCGCUUCAAGUGUCGCAACGGCCGCUGUGUGGACCGCAGCUUCCUGUGCAACAGUGAGGACAACUGCCAGGAUAACAGCGACGAGGAGGACUGCCUGACCACAGCAGGUAGGCCCGGUGCAGGCGAUCAACUCCUGCACACACACACACACAGCAUGGCUAGUAGGGAAUACAUACUGUGUCAAGGAUACAGCAGUGAAACGUUCAUCUAUGCAUCCAGGAAAAUAAGAUGAUAAUGUGGGUUAUUGCUGGACCCCAGCUGGGCAUUAAUGGGGCUGUGUACAAACAUUGUCUGUCUGCCUUUCUAUCUAUCUAUCUAUCUAUAUCGGUCUAUCUAUCCAUCCACCCUGCCAUUGAUCCAUCCAAUCAUGUAUCCAUCUAUUUAUACAUUGAUGCAAUGGUUAGGGUUGGCCUAGUCUUAGCAAGCGUAUCUGCGUAUAGAGGCGUAUGAAUUUAUAGCUUAUCUCCAGGGCCUGCUGCUGUCUUCUGGCCCAGUGGAAUAACCCACAGAGUCUCUGCUCCUAAGACAAAGUGCUGUGUUCAUUCCCACUGCCUACUAGUACACUAGUUCCCACCUCAGAGUGCAAGGUAAGCAUUUCAGAUAGUUAGAUGCUCAUAUAGCAAAUACAUUCAAACAAAGGCAUCUCAAUGAGGAGAGGGUGUCAGCACUUCCUUACUGUGCAACUGACCAAGCAAAAACCAGCGACUGUUCGAGACACACUUUUGCGUGCCAAGUCUUGUUUGUGUAGGAGGGACUUGCUUCUGCGUUCUGGCUAAGCACACUGAAAUGCCAUAGAAGAUCUCUUCUUGAAGGUCUCUUCAUUCCACCAUUGGCUUACCCACUCGGCUCUUGUUCAGGACAAGUGGGGAGAAGUUGUGUGCUCAGCAUUGGCCUUCAGCAAAGAUCAGGGAUGAGAAGGGUUUAUUUUGUUUUCUGGCAUCCGCUAGGCUGCAGAGUUAAACUCUCAGAGCAAACACAGUCUCUGUAACGCAAACACACACACAUACACACACACACACACAAACGCGUACACACACGCACGCACACACACACACAUACACACACACACAUACGCACACACACACACAAACACACAAACAUACACAUGCGCGCACACACACACACACAUACGCUCAAACACCCACACAAACA